UCCUUCGUGGAUCAGCGGUAGAUCUUCUCUGAUCAGUUUAGCCGAAACAGCCUUCAUGAGAAAAGCGCGGGUUCGAAUCCCGCAGACGGCA